rnacentral:antisense_RNA from 1 species
GAUAUCCGAAAAUGACUCGCGGAUCCAGGGUGGGAUUGGUAAUCAAGCGAACAUCGCCGCCUCCCGGAGCCCAGGGAUCAUAUAGCCCACCCCAGAACAUUGCCUUGCCGACAAAUAGUAGGGCAAAUAGGCCUAACACUAAAAUGUGAAAUCCCAGAAUUUGGGCCACUUUAGCCCGAUCACCCCA